rnacentral:rRNA from 1 species
GACGUAGGGCGCGAGUGUUGUCCGGAUUUAUUGGGCGUAAAGAGCUCGUAGGCGGCUUGUCGCGUCGUCCGUGAAAACUUGGGGCUCAACCCCAAGCUUGCGGUCGAUACGGGCAGGCUCGAGUUCGGUAGGGGAGACUGGAAUUCCUGGUGUAGCGGUGAAAUGCGCAGAUAUCAGGAGGAACACCAGUGGCGAAGGCGGUGCUCUGGGCCGGAACUGACGCUGAGGAGCGAAAGCGUGGGGAGCAAACAGG